rnacentral:lncRNA from 1 species
UGGCAUGAGAAAGUUAAUGAUCUUAUUUUGGUUUAGAAAUUUCCUUCUGCCCAAAGGUGUUGGUAUUUCGAAAACCAGUGUAAUUUUGUUAACUAGCUACAUGAUGUGUUUUAAGAGUACCUUAUAACAUGUUGUAUUGUCGACCCAAAGGUGACUUUAUGAUGAUGCACCUAGACUCUUACCGUAAUAAAAUUUAUAUGUUUCGAUUUAAAUUACGGAUUAUCUAAUUAAUAGCCCAUAUUAAUUAGUUGGAUAUU